GUGGGGAAUAUUCCGCAAUGGACGAAAGUCUGACGGAGCAACGCCGCGUGAGUGAUGAAGGUUUUCGGACUGUAAAGCUCUGUUGUUUAUGACGAAAGUGCCUGUUGCAAAUAGUUACAGGUAUUGACGGUACUGAACGAGGAAGCCACGGCUAACUACGUGCCAGCAGCCGCGGUAAUACGUAGGUGGCAAGCGUUGUCCGGAAUUAUUGGGCGUAAAGAGCAUGUAGGCGGGAAUCUAAGUCUGUUGUGAAAAUGCGGGGCUCAACCCCGUAUUGCGAUGGAAACUGGGUUUCUUGAGUGCAGGAGAGGAAAGGGGAAUUCCCAGUGUAGCGGUGAAAUGCGUAGAUAUUGGGAGGAACACCAGUGGCGAAGGCGCCUUUCUGGACUGUGUCUGACGCUGAGAUGCGAAAGCCAGGGUAGCGAACGGGAUUAGAUACCCUUGUAGUCC
rnacentral:rRNA from 1 species